UACGGAGGAUCCGAGCGUUAUCCGGAUUCAUUGGGUUUAAAGGGUGCGUAGGUUGUUUUAUAAGUUAGCGGUGAAAUACCGAUGCUCAACAUCGGGGCUGCCGCUGAUACUGUAGGACUAGAGAUCGGAUGCAGCAGGCGGAAUGUGUAGUGUAGCGGUGAAAUGCAUAGAUAUUACACAGAACACCGAUUGCGAAGGCAGCUCACUGGACUGCAACUGACACUGAGGCUCGAAAGUGUGGGUAUCAAACAGG
rnacentral:rRNA from 1 species